GAUGAACGCUGGCGGCGUGCCUAAUACAUGCAAGUCGAGCGAACGGACGAGAAGCUUGCUUCUCUGAUGUUAGCGGCGGACGGGUGAGUAACACGUGGAUAACCUACCUAUAAGACUGGGAUAACUUCGGGAAACCGGAGCUAAUACCGGAUAAUAUUUUGAACCGCAUGGUUCAAAAGUGAGAUACGGUCUUGCUGUCACUUAUAGAUGGAUCCGCGCUGCAUUAGCUAGUUGGUAAGGUAACGGCUUACCACGGCAACGAUGCAUAGCCGACCUGAGAGGGUGAUCGGCCACACUGGAACUGAGACACGGUCCAGACUCCUACGGGAGGCAGCAGUAGGGAAUCUUCCGCAAUGGGCGAAAGCCUGACGGAGCAACGCCGCGUGAGUGAUGAAGGUCUUCGGAUCGUAAAACUCUGUUAUUAGGGAAGAACAUAUGUGUAAGUAACUGUGCACAUCUUGACGGUACCUAAUCAGAAAGCCACGGCUAACUACGUG
rnacentral:rRNA from 1 species